GACGAACGCUGGCGGCGUGCUUAACACAUGCAAGUCGAACGGAAAGGCCCUGCUUUUGUGGGGUGCUCGAUUGGCGAACGGGUGAGUAACACGUGAGUAACCUGCCCUUGACUUUGUGAUAACUUCAGGAAACUGGGGCUAAUACCGGAUAGGAGCUCCUGCUGCAUGGUGGGGGUUGGAAAGUUUCGGCGGUUGGGGAUGUACUCGCGGCUUAUCAGCUUGUUGGUGGGGUAGUUGCUUACCAAGGCUUUGACGGGUAGCCGGCCUGAGAGGGUGACCGGCGACAAUGGGACUGAGAGACGGCACAGAAGCCAACGGGAGGCAGCAGGGGGGAAUAUUGCACAAUGGGCGGAAGCCUGAUGCAGCAACGCCGCGUGCGGGAUGACGGCCUUCGGGUUGUAAACCGCUUUCGCCUGUGACGAAGCGUGAGUGACGGUAAUGGGUAAAGAAGCAACGGCUAACUACGUG
rnacentral:rRNA from 1 species